rnacentral:rRNA from 1 species
AUUGAACGCUGGCGGCAGGCCUAACACAUGCAAGUCGAACGAGUGGCGGACGGGUGAGUAAUGUCUGGGAAACUGCCAGAUGGAGGGGGAUAACUACUGGAAACGGUAGCUAAUACCGCAUACCAUCGGAUGUGCCCAGGUGGGCUUAGGUAGUUGGUGGGGUAACGGCUCACCUAGGCGACGAUCCCUAGCUGGUCUGAGAGGAUGACCAGGCACACUGGAACUGAGCGAAGGUCCAGACUCCUACGGGAGGCAGGAGUGGGGAAUAUUGCACAAUGGGCGCAACCCUGAUGCAGCCAUGCCGCGUGUAUGAAGAAGGCCUUCGGGUUGUAAAUUACUUUCAGCGGGGAGGCGUUACUCGCAGAAGAAGCACCGGCUAACUCCGUGCCAGCAGCGGCGGUAAUAC